rnacentral:rRNA from 1 species
CGUAACUACGUGCCAGGAGCCGCGUUAAGGCGGAGGGGGCGAGCGUUGGCGGGAUUUUGUGGGCGUAAAGCGAGCGCAGGCGGUUUCUUAAGUCUGAUGUGAAAGCCCACGGCUCAACCGUGGAAGGGCAUUGGAAACUGGGGAACUUGAGUGCAGAAGAGGAGAGUGGAAUUCCAUGUGUAGCGGUGAAAUGCGUAGAUAUAUGGAGGAACACCAGUGGCGAAGGCGACUCUCUGGUCUGUAACUGACGCUGAGGCUCGAAAGCGUGGGGAGCAAACAGGAUUAGAUACCCGUGUAGUC